rnacentral:lncRNA from 1 species
UUUUUUUUUUUUUGGCUUCUUUGUGAAUUGGAGUGUCAUCCUGAGCCUUGUGCUGACCUGAAGCUGGUUUUUGGUUGCUGUGGGGUCAGAGCCCUGUUUGGUCUUUGGGAGGGACAGAUUCCCCAUUCUAUCACCCAGUAAAAGGGAAAAAGCCCUUUUCCCUUGCUGUUGGCUCCAGGAAUGUCUUUCUGAAUCUCAUCAAAGCCUCCCUGAUAUUGCUGCUGGAGUUCUGAGUGGUUCUGGGCAGCACUUCUCCCACCAGUGCUGCUGGUUGAGGCUGGGAGAGCCCGGUGAUCCCGUUGGAAGUCAGAUCCUGUGGGAUGACACGAUGCCACCGUGCCACCAUGGGACAGGGAAACCCAGGAGCAUCAGAUUUAAACUCAGUUUAGUUUCACAGCAGUUCUGUGGAAGGGUGACGAGUCAAAGUCAGUUGUGACCAUUUUCCUGACACAAUGCCUUGGCUGUCUUCCUCUUGGUCUUUAUGAUCUUCCCAAACCCGGGAAGCGGGAGAUACGUGCAGUACUUCUUUCAUUUUAGUUUGUUGGUUUUUUUUCUUAGUGUCGAUUUAAAAAGUGCCUAAGUGAGGAACAGGACUCCAGAGUGAGCUGGAGGAAUAGGAUUAGACCUCAUUUCCCUCUUGAGAAAAGAGCCCUCCCUGCAUCCCUCUGCAUAUCCCUCCAAUGAGUCCGGCUGGAAAAACUCCCCAUUCUUUCCUCGUGCUGCCCCCCUUGGUUCUCAGUCUUCUGGGAGGGGGAUCUCGUUCCUCAGCCGAACGUUUGCAGUCUCUGAUCUGGGGUGGAUGGCAAAGAGGAUGGAAUUCAGAAGGAAACUGCCUCUUGGAUUGCAGAUACAAAGAGCUCUGUGUGAUAAAACGCCCACCUUUGGAAAACCAGAUCUGGCCAUGGGCAGGGACAUCUCCCACUAUCCCAGGUUGCUCCAAGUCCCAUCCAACCUGGCCUGGAACAUUUCCAGGGAUGGGGCAGCCAGAACCUCUCUGGAAUCCCAAAGGCAGUUUCUUCCUAUAUUCUUAAUUAUUUCUAGGUUUGUCAUAGUAGAACCUGCUAAACAUUUUGUCCAAAUAACCCUAAACUAUCAGCAGGUGGUUAUAAUUUUGUAAAGGUGAGAAUUUUAUGUGGAUUUAAAGAAUAAAAGUAUCAGUGGUAGAUUAUAAUAUUUCAUUAAAAGAGGAUUUCUUCUGACCACAGUGAGAGGAGGUAACAAACACUAUGAAGGAGUUUUAGUACCACUUAAGGGUUCAGCAAAUAAAAGCAAGCCGUGUGUAGAUGUUUUAUUUUUCAUUAGCAACAAAAUGUUUUCACUCUGAGGUGGGAAGGCCUGGGAAGGGACUGUUGGCAAGGAAAGCUUUGAGGACAUCUCUGCAGAGGGCAGACACUCAGCCUCUGGGGAGGGGAUGGGUGCUGAUAGAAGCAGUGAUCCUGUGGGAAUCCAUUGCUGAUGGAAAUCAGGAGAUUCCUGAUGGAAAUCCACUGUUCGUGGAGCCUGUGGCACGCACGGACCUUGGCCCUGCUCCGAGAUGCCUUUUGGAAGUGUGACAAGUGACAAAUGGCUGUCCUGGCAGCGGAUGGGUGCUGCAGUUGCAAACCCACGAGCGAGGGCACGGUGGAACAGCCUCGGAGCCACAUGGAAACAACAAAACCCCAACCAAGGCCGGGGAGGUUCCUCACAUCCCAAUUCUCUGUGUCUCCACUUUGUCCCACCGUGACCUCGACCCGGGGCCAGCUCCACUUCUCCUGCCUGGGCCGUGCUGGGAUGGCUCCAGCUGCCUCCUGUCACUGUCACCAGAUAAAUCAGUGACACCCAGGACCCCAUCCCUGCCCUGGCCUCUCCCACCCAGCUGCUGCUUCGCCCCAGCUGGGCCGUGUCUCAUCUGCUGUAGGUUCCUGCCUACCUCAAGGGGUAACCAUGGGAUCCUGGAGUGGUGUGGUCACCCUCUGGUCGGUUUUCCAUGAGCACUAGCGCACACUCACACACACUCACACACACACUGGAAUGUAUAUUCUCCUCCCCCCUAGCCCCCAAAUAACCUCUUGACCUGAUCCUUGCUGUAGCCACCACCAACUCCUCUUGCAAAUUGGAUGCUGCUUUAAAUGUGAAAACAAAUGUUCAAGAAGCUAUAAAACCUGAAUGAAAGCUAAAGCUGAAUUUAUAAAGCCUUGUUGCAUAUGAGCCAAAAGUGCAAAAAGCUCUAUAUAAUGAACUAACCUGCCACUCAUAUAAAUAUAAAUAUAUAUAAAUAUAUUAAAAUCAGACUGUUCUACAAAAUUGUGUAUUUGUAUUUUUGUGUACGUACAAUUUUCUGCUAAGCAGAAGGAGGAUGUAGUAUAGGAUGAUGUGAGAAGAGAUUUUGUUUAAUCAUAUUUCUUUGUUACUUAUUUUUGUUAACAUCCAGAUGCCUGUCUUUGUCUUAUGUGUAUGACACUGUUCCAAAGGUGCAGUAUCCCUCUCCUGCCGCGCGUCCAACCUCCUUCCUCCACAGGGAACGAGUCAGGUGAUGCCCCCUCAUCAUCAUCAUCAUCAUCCUCAUCCCCUUCGGAUCCACCCUGAUCUUGAUCUUAAGGGCUGCUCCUUCAGCUGAAAGACGAGAUGCUUCAUUUCCCAGCGUGGUGAAGUUGAAUAUUCAUGUUCUGGUUGCACGUAGUUGUUCCCUAAACACGUUUCCAUGCUCUGCUGCUGCUCCUCAGCCUGACAUUUUGGGGGGAAAAAUCGGAUUGGAUAGGUUGGGAGGGAGGAUGAGCAGAUCCUCGUGGUGGGAAGUUGCUGAUGGAGAAGAAAGUGCCGGGGUGGUCCCGGGGUGAACCUUGGUCACCCCCCACGGGGGAUGGAGGAACCUCGUGGUCCCCAUGCUGGCUGCUCUCGGGGGGCUUGGCUGUCAGGAAGGAAGGCUGGGGAGGUGAUGGGUUAUAAAACUCUCCCUGUGCCCCCUCAGGAACAUCCACCCCUGCACCCUGGUGGCUUUGGGGCACUUUGGCUCUUUGCUUUGGGAGGGUUGGAGCAGCCUGGAGAGGUGUCCAUCUGUUCAUGCCAGAUCCCCUUGCAGUGAAGGCACUGAGUGGUGAGAAGAACAUUCCAAACUCUUCUCCCAGUCACUGCCUUUAUCUGUGAGGUGCUGGUGGCUCCCUGCCAGGAGGAAAGGAACAGUGUAGGAAACCUGGGAACCCUUGGUGUGCUUGGGAAUCAUUAUUUAUCCAUCACAGAGAACUGUCCAGGGAAACAAAGGGCCAAAGGAGACGGGAUAGAACAGAUCUAGUGGAGUAUCACCUUCAGUCCCACCACAGCCCCUUGAGGAAACUGGUCCAGCCUCCAUCCCAAAUGCAGGUGAGGGUCAAUGUCCAUCACACCUUCCCCUGGCAGCAGCUGCUGUAAAAUGAACCAUCAACCUCUCCCCUUGUUCCGUUUUUUUUUUUUAAUUUAAUCCCUGUCUUUGUCAGAGCCGACCCGCGGCCGGGGGGAGAGCGAUACUGCACCUUUCUACGUAGGGCUCAUAUUUAUAACAAUGUGUAAUGACUGUAGCAAAGUCCUUGUUUCUGUAUGUGAAUGGACAGAGAAACAAGUGCUCUAUUGUAUUGAUUAAAAUAGUUCAAAUGAGUCCUGUAUCAUUGUAUCUCCUAUUCUGGAUUAGUGCCUUUUGGACAGUAGACUGUUCUGUAAUUAAAAUGUAGUAUAACUGCUUUUUUGUACAGUUUUGUUUUAAUAAAACUUUUUUUUAAUUUGUGUUUAUUUUAGUAUUGUACCUAUUAG